AAAACUGCUAAUUCCCAAGAGAACACUGAAAUACGCGCAUAUAUACAAGCAAUUGGUGGAACAGGCGUCGAUGAUGCGGUAAAGAGAACACUUUAUAAAGUAUUCUCAAAUAAAUUGGCGGAAAAUUACAAUUGGGAAAGCCGACGUGGAAAAUAUCCAUUACAAAAUUUAGAGUUAAUGAAAGUUAUUUUCAGAUCCAUACUUCACAAUAUCUCGGAUUCUGAUCGAACAAAAAUACAACGAAGAGUCAUGGAGUGGUUUAGGCAUUCCAAGGCAAGAUACAAUAAUGAAAAAAGCGGACCGUUAGAGACGAAAACAAUGAUUCACCCGAUCGCGAUUCAUCAAUGGAAAAUUCAAAUUAUUAAUUUAUAAAAGAUCUU